GCUCUUUCCCAGUCAUAGGCACCCCGCUAAUGGGUCGGGGACAGAAGAAACCCCGGGCUCCCAUGAAAGGCUGCCCAGCUACGCAGGAGGAAUAGAGGCUCCAAGUGGCUG
rnacentral:lncRNA from 1 species